rnacentral:rRNA from 1 species
UCAAAGAGUCUUGGAAUAAGGGGUGGGUAAGGACGGUGCCAGCCGCCGCGGUAAUACCGGCGCCUCAAGUGGUAGUCGCUUUUAUUGGGCCUAAAACGUCCGUAGCCGGUCUGGUACAUUCGUGGGUAAAUCAACCCGCUCAACGGGUUGAAUUCUGCGAGCACGGCCAGACUUGGGACCGGGAGAGGUGUGGGGUACUCUCAGGGUAGGGGUAAAAUCCUGUCAUCCUGAGAGGACCACCUGUUGCGAAGGCGCCACACUAAAACGGAUCCGACGGUCAGGGACGAAACCUAGGGGCACGAACCGGAUUAAAUACCCGGGUAGUCCUAGGUGUAAACGCUGUGGACUUGAUGUUGGGGGCGCUCCGAGCGCUCUCAGUGUCGAAGCGAAGGUGAUAAGUCCACUGCCUGGGGAGUACGGUCGCAAGGCUGAAACUUAAAGGA